ACUGACCCAACCUAUUCCCAAACAGCCAAAUUCCUUUUUCCCUUUCCUCUUCAUCACAACGUAAAACAACAACUACUUCAGCACACAACAACAAAUGACCCAACAACUAUAUGAUCAGCAACACAGUCAAACAACACCAACGGCAACCUUUAGACCGACGAGCAUUACGAAAUCCAUUGGUUCAUCUCCACCUCUCCUCUACUUUCGUCUCUAUCAACAUCACCUGUUUUCCACCCAUCACUUCUUGUUGAAGUAGAUCAAAUCCCAAGGCUCUGCAUUUCCUGGAAAAGAUGGGAAAGUUCAUGGACCUUCACGUUUUGAGGUUAUUUAGCCCUUCAAACCAAUAGAUGUAAGCCUUUCUACCUUCAAACUAUCACUCGUCUUUCAAAUCAAUCGAAAAGGUGACUCCUUUCUCUUCUUUAUCUUUUUUCACCAUUGAAUUCAACCUGCAAUUUGUCUUCUAAAGGACGUUAAAAAUACAAUUACUUUUUGAAUUUUUUCAAGGCUUCUUUGAGAAGCUGGGCAGCCCAUAUUUUUCCUAUAAAAGAGGCUUGUUCACUCCUUUAGGGGAUAAGAACAGAGAUGGAGAAUUUAGGGGAAUAUUUUAAGUGCUAUUAUUUUUCUUUGCUUUAUUUUAUUUAGCUUCCGACUACACUUUCCUUACUCGUGUCGCUUUUCAUUGCUCACAUUAGAAGUGGUGUGAAAAUCGUUCAUCAACUCGUUGUUUCGAUACCCUGCACCAUAAAAAGUGACCUCCUGCGCUCUCCUCUCUGUUCAAUAUCUUCGUUUUUCAUUUUAUUGAUAUUUGUGGUAAUGUGAUUUUUUUUAAUGUUUUACGAAUAUUCUUGGAUUUCAUAUUUUAAGUAUCUAAUGUUGGAUUAGAUUAUUAACGAAUACAGUGCACGGAGGACAAGUUAAUGAGCGUUAUGGGAUAAAUGGAGGACGUCUCAUGGCAUUUGUCAUUUAUGAUUUCCCAAAUCUCCCUCCGAUACUUUCUUUUAUAUUGUUUUUAUUGGAAAGUUUUCUUUUAUGUCAGAGUAGCCUUGAACCUUUGGCUUUAAUUUGGAAUUUUUGAGUUGUUUAGUCAUAGAUUUUCAUGCUCUUGUCCUUUGGCUAAAAAAUGAUCCUAAAUGGUAUCUGGAUAGCAUUCUUUAUUAAUCAUAAGUUUAAGCUUCAUUGUUCAUGUCUUCUGGAAGCAUGGUUUGAAGCCUCUAGGGUAAAUUUUCAUUAAAUUUGUUUUCCCCUCCCUUAUUUUGUUUUCUGAUUUCUUUUUGGCAUAUGUAAUCCCCAAGUAAUUAGUUAACCUUUCUUUCCUCAUCAUUAUGAGUAAAGCGUGUUGGCUUGUCUAUCUACCUUUUUCUCUUUUCUUCAAAUUAUUCUCCGUUAAAUGUUUAGGAUGAUGCUUCUUUUCGAGUACAAAUAGUUCUUUGAAGUAGUAGAAGGAACUCUUUUUUUUCACUACCCAAAAGAUAUUUUAAAAAGAAAUUUUUAGUCUUGUCUUUUUAUUAUAUCGCAUUUAACCAAGCUUGUUUAACUAGUUUAGGAGCCAAGAAUGUUGUAGAAUUUUUUCCUCCUUGUCCAUGUAUGAAAUAAUUCUCAUUAGUUUUAUGACUUAGCUGUAGAUUGGGUACUCUUUGUCACAUACAUUAAGGGUCACUUUAAUUGUUUACUUUAUUUUGUUGAUCAAACUUUAUGUACCAGUUAAUUAUUAUAGAUACUAAUCCAUUCUCCUUGUUUCUUCUAUGCAUGAACUCUCCCUCAUCGACUCCCUCGGACUCUCAUUUCCCGUAUUUCGUGGGUUGAACCCAACCUCCAUUGACUCAAGCCCCAUUAAAAUCCAAAUAUGCAGGAAAAAACUGGUAUAAAAUUAUAUACAACUAAUAUGCAGUUGGAUGCAGUAGUUGUACACGUAUUAUAUGGUUUAUAAUAAUAAGGGAGUCAAAAUAAGUAGGUUUUAUGCUGAUAUACAUUGUAUACACAGCUAUAUACAGAAAAUGGAAGAAAAGGGUCUUACUGAUAUACUACUAUUAUACAUGCUGAAAAUGGGCCAGUCUAAAUCUGGACAGCUUGCAGCAGUGGGCCAAGAAGCCCAAUUCCUCUUCCCAACCUUUUAUUUGUUUGCAAACAAUUAUUUGUGUUUGUUUUCAUAUUAACACUAAUAUUUAAUUAAUUAAUUUACAUUCCCAAGAUAUUGCCAUUUUUAUUUUAUCUUCGUUUUUCCUUUCGUUACUUAUUUAUUAUUAUUAUUAUUAUUAUUAUUAUUAUUAUUAUUAUUAUUAU
rnacentral:lncRNA from 1 species